CUGGAUGUUGUGGGUUUCUCUAAGUGUUGCUGUUUUAGCCGUUGGUUCUCCUGGAGGAGCUCGUCAUGUAGGCUUCCCCAGUGUGAGUUCGACCAUUGUCAUCGGAGGAGCUCGGGACCUUGUUGGGCAGAAUUAUUUUUGCUGACUGGAGCAAUUUUAAUUGCAUGGGACCAUGCGGCUGUGUGGGCGCGGCCUCCCCAGGAAGCUGUGCUAAUCGCUGGACCCCAAGGUGCGCGGGGGCCGGGAGGGACCCAGGCUGGACCUCAGGCUUGCUGCUGACCAAACAUUUGUGAGCCUUCCUUGGUCCUUUUUAUCCGAACGCUUCUGAUUGGAAAGUGGGAGUGCCGGGUGCUGUGUCCGCUUCUGUCUAAGAAACACUGGCUGGGGAGAGGAAAGCAUAAGAGCUGCUUCAGGAGCAGGGCAGCAUCGCUCCUGGAGAAAUAUGUGCCUUUGGUGGCAUGGCCUGCAAUGGGGUGUGCAUGCUACCAAGCGAAGGUCGCUGGUCCUGGAGAAGCCACCAAGGCGGGGCUCCAUGUUGGGUCCAGGAUCAUCCUGGGGACGAGAAGGUCUCUUCUGAUUCCAGAUGAAUUUUAGGAGUGAUUUCUCUAGGUCUAUGAGAUUCCCGGGUCCUCCUGUGUCCUCUCCAUCUGUGCCUUCUCGGUGACUGCAGUGGCCCGCCUGGUCCUGUGUCUCAGUCUCGUCCUAGCCGGAAGGUGGCCCCAGGCUCUCGUCCCUGGUCCCCACUGGUCUCCUCCUCUGGGAGCUGGGACCUUGCCUGGUGCCCGAGUCUCUCCCAGCGCUCUGCUCUUCAGAUGUCCUGGGGAUGCGCCCGUCCUCACCUGAGCCAGGUUGUCUGAAGUUUCUCUGGUGAAACCAGAGAGUCUGGCCGUGGGUGCCCCUGCCCUGCCUAGGGGCGGGUAGGGGCUGAGCCCCAAACUCGAGUUCACAGCUGCUUCUCAGGGGCUCUGCCUCCAGCUUCUAGAAGUUUCUGUGCCUGCUUGGGGGACCCUGCCAGGGCCUCCACGCUCUUUUCCUCUGCGCCCCGGCUCCUGGCCCCAGUCCAGCCCUCACUUCCCCUUUCCAGCCCCUUCUGCGCCCCCCUGAGCUCCUGCACAGCGCCCGAAGCCUGUGAGUCUCACAGCCUACUUCAGGGCUCUAGGUGGGAAGAGUGGUUUCCAACUUUCUAUUGGUUUACUCUAGAACUGUCUCAGAGACAACACUGAAGGCGUUUGGGUAAACAGUGGAAAUCUUUCUUUGGGGAAAUUAACACAGCAAAAUUUGAUUGCAUAGCCUGACACCGUGUGUUGCAGAUGUUAAUAUUCAAUCAGAGGCAGAGCCAUUUUCUUUAAGUGCAUUAAGGCGACUCAUUUGCAGGAGGCUGGUAAUUGUCCCAUUAACUCCGGCCCUUGCCGUCCCCUCCCCGCAGCGGGAGGCCCAAGGGGGCUGCUCUGCGGCACCCUCCAAGAUUGCCGGAUCUGUGCAAAAUCCUGUUGAAGUCCGGGACCUCUACAGAGCUCCCAGAGCCCACAGGGAGGAAGCCCUUACCGGAGAGCCAGGAGUCUCCGUCUCUCAGCCACACUGGGUGUCUUAGAAAAUAUGGCUAAUGCUUGUUGGUUUUUAAUUGUGUCACAAGCUGUGUGUGUGUGUGUGUGUGUGUGUGUGUGUGUG